AUCCACAGGCAUACCACUCUGAAUGCACCUUGUCGUCUGACUUUGGGAACUAAGCAGGGUUGGGCCUGGGUACCACUUGGAUG
rnacentral:rRNA from 1 species